rnacentral:tRNA from 1 species
GGUGGCUCAGUGGUAGAGUGCUUGCCUUGCAUGCACGAGGCCCUGGGUUCAAAUCCUCAGCACCA